rnacentral:lncRNA from 1 species
AGUUCGUUGGGAAUUAAAUCGAAGAAACAAGUGGAUAACUGUUAUAAACAAAAAAAAAGUAUCUAACAUAACCUUAUCGAUGGUUCGCCAUUGUCUCCUAAACCAUGGCAUACUUAAUGCAGUGUUCAUUUUAUCGGUGACAACAAAUCAGAUGACGAAAACAGUCCUAGUUACGUCCCACAAAGUUUCCCUACAAUCGAUUCUACAAACAAGAUUGACAAACAUGGGACUUCAACUAGGCAUCAAAGUUUCAUGGCAC